CCAAACCCUAUCGCGUCUCUCCCAGCCGUCUCUGGCCUUCUCCCUCCCCCUCGCGUCUCCAUCCCCGCCGCCGGGCGACCUCAUGCCUCUAGCCUUGGGCGCAGCCAGGUGCGACCACAACGCAAGGCACGAGCGGGUCUUCGGCCGCGCGGCCAGGCGCGAGCGGGGCGGCGUCGCCCUUGGGCGCAAGACCAGCGUACGGCACGCCCCGUAUGCCCCUCUCACCGCCGCCACGAGCCAGCAGGGGAGCUCGGUGGUGGGCGCGAGGAGGCGCUGCUGGGGCACAUCCUGGAGGUAGAAGGCGGCGCAGAGGGUGAGCGGCGGGGAGCUCGGUGGCGGGCGCGAGGAGGCGCUGCAGGGGCACAUCCCGGAGGUAGACGGCGGCGCAGAGGGUGAGCGGUGAGGACAGGGCCGGAUGGGACGGCCAUGGUGGAGGGCGAGAUGAGGUUAUUAACUUUUGUGUGCUUGUGAGGUGUUUGACAAGAUGCUAACACCAAGGACGGUGUCAGAGAAUGGUUGUUCUUCUACAUGCUGCUGUUUUGGAGCCUUGGGGAGUUGGGGAAGAUAGCUGGUCGGAUGGUCCUGGAUGGCGGAUGAUGCUCACCCAGUCACCCUGUUGCCUAAAAGUUUUAUAUGGGCUGCAGCCGCACUGCACGAGAAGGCAGACCGUGAGUUCUCAGUCGGAACACUUCAGCAUGUGGCGUUGCAUCUCCGUGGGGAUGGCGAGAAGAUAAAUGAUGGACACUUCCCAAUUUGAUACUGGUUGUGGUAUUGCUCUGUCCGUUGGCUGCAUCUCAAGAACGCAUGUUGCUUGUGCAUCCGCGACAAGGAGAUGGUGUGCGGAUGGCUGCAUCGUCGUGAAUGGUGGAUGGCUUGAAAGGAGUGAGGUGGAGCAACAUGACCGACCAUGCUAAAUCCUCUGGUAUAUCACUCCGUUAUGUACAUUAUUUUCCUUGUUCGCUUGUCAACUUCGUGUUGUUUGGAAAGAGUAAUAAAAAAACACUAUUAUGGUGGUUGAUUUGCAUGAAAAUUCAUUCUGCACAUGAGACUUCUUUAUACUUAAAACUGUUGCUUUUAUUACACCUGCUGCUUGAAUUGAGGUCUAUUUUUUCCUCCUAAUGAUAUGGAAGGCAGUCAGCCUAUACUGGGUUUUUCAUUUUGUAGGUGGACUUCUUUAUAUUAAAACACAUUUAAGGAAUAGCUUCGCUGAAGAUUUUAUCUCAGUGGAUAUAGGGGUAAUUUAUGAUGGAGAUAAUAGGUAUCAUGAUGAGAAGGAUAGCUUGUCAUUGAGAUUUCGUGUAGUUUAAGGUUCGGUUCUCUCAUUAGGAAUCCAUGAUCUACCUUUUUUUACAUGUAAUGUCUAUAUGA